UAGGGAAUCUUCGGCAAUGGACGAAAGUCUGACCGAGCAACGCCGCGUGAGUGAAGAAGGUUUUCGGAUCGUAAAACUCUGUUGUUAGAGAAGAACAAGGACGUUAGUAACUGAACGUCCCCUGACGGUAUCUAACCAGAAAGCCACGGCUAACUACGUGCCAGCAGCCGCGGUAAUACGUAGGUGGCAAGCGUUGUCCGGAUUUAUUGGGCGUAAAGCGAGCGCAGGCGGUUUGUUAAGUCAGAUGUGAAAUCCCCGGGCUCAACCUGGGAACUGCAUCUGAUACUGGCAAGCUUGAGUCUCGUAGAGGGGGGUAGAAUUCCAGGUGUAGCGAUGAAAUGCGUAGAGAUCUGGAGGAAUACCGGUGGCGAAGGCGGCCCCCUGGACGAAGACUGACGCUCAGGUGCGAAAGCGUGGGGAGCAAACAGG
rnacentral:rRNA from 1 species